UCGGUCCUGACACAAAGACACUAAGGAUUUGGAAAUGAACUUGUAAGUGGGGGAGCUGGCAGGCUGCCCUUGGAAGGACCUGGUCCUCCUUUUAGGAGUUUUGCACCUGAUUAAUGAUUCUGCUCAAGACAGAUUAAGCUGCUGGAACCCUUCUCCAUUUAGCAAUGCCAGCUCUUUCCUCCUCUUAACACUCUUUUUUGGCUCAUCUCGUCUCCCCCACCCCCGACUUGUUCUUGGGGCAAACCGCCGGUCCGGGAUGAACUGGGUUUUCUCCCGGAAGGGAGGAGAGGCUGAGUGGCAGCCCCACGGAGGCUCCCUGAGGUAAGACACGAGGAGCCGUUAUAAGCCAGAGGGGCUCAGGUUCAAAGCCUGGCUGGACCCUUGACUCUGAGAUUCUCUUGACUUCCUCAGUGAAUUUCACUCUCAAGUGCUGUCACUGUCAGAGGACAGUUCCUGGCUGUAUUACGCCUUCCCCAGAAAUGAGCAGGAGGAAGACAGGGGCAGGCACCCAAACCAGGAAGUUGAAAGAAGUGACUGUUAUUUGAGAGGGACUUUCUCUGCCCUCCUCCACGCCGCUCUUUAUUCAGCAGGAACCCAAGGAUCCCCCUCCGGAGAAAGUGGAUUGUCGUGGGCUCAGCGUGCCAAGUUCGCUGCGGCCAAGGGACCCGGCACAAAGCUCCUUUAUGCCUCGCUGUGUGCUCUCCUUCCUGGCCCGCCUGCCCCGUGCACGGUUUUCCUUAGCCUUUCUUCACCAUUUCUUUUCCAGUUGACUUAGUUAUUACAGUACAUGGAUGGCCGGGCCUGGCACCAGAGGCUGCGUGCGAGUGGGGCUCCCAGGCCCUAACGUGAUUUCCCCGGGGUUGGGGUUGGGGGGUCUGGCAUUUGCCCACCAACAGGGCCGUGGACCCACCCACCGUCCUGGGCCUGCCUCCCGGUCACGGCUUCCCCGUCGCGGUCGUGGUCCCUGCCAGCCAGUGAUGUCUUUAGGGCAUCACUGAAGAGCACGGAGUAUGGAGUGGGGGGUGAGGGAGGCCCUCGGUGCUCGGCUCCAGACGAGGUGUGAAGUUGACUGACGCGCUUAAAAAAGGAAACCGCCCCAAUUAAAGGCGAAGGAUGGGCGUUGAGGGGUUCAGGGACUCGGGGCGCUUUGUCUGUGGACAAACUCUGGGUGCAGCUGGCCGUGCCUCUGCUGCCCUCGCCCUGAAGUCAGGCCAGCGGGGGGGGGGGGGGGGCGUUCCUGCUCGCAGAUGUGACCUCCUCCUCCGGUCACAGUUUCAAGGGGUGCCGAGAGCUUCUGAGACGCACACAACGCGGCACUGAGGCUCCAUCCGCUUUGCAUUAAAACACCUUUUUCUAAAUUAAACUCUUCUAAUUUGUAAUCAGG